GACGAACGCUGGCGGCGUGCUUAACACAUGCAAGUCGAACGGAAAGGCCCCUUCGGGGGUACUCGAGUGGCGAACGGGUGAGUAACACGUGAGUAACCUGCCCUUGACUUCGGGAUAACUUCAGGAAACUGGGGCUAAUACCGGAUAGGAAUCCUUGCUGCAUGGUGGGGGUUGGAAAGCUUCGGCGGUUUUGGAUGGACUCGCGGCUUAUCAGCUUGUUGGUGGGGUAGUGGCUUACCAAGGCUUUGACGGGUAGCCGGCCUGAGAGGGCGACCGGCCACAUUGGGACUGAGAUACGGCCCAGACUCCUACGGGAGGCAGCAGUGGGGAGUAUUGCACAAUGGGCGGAAGCCUGAUGCAGCAACGCCGCGUGCGGGAUGACGGCCUUCGGGUUGUAAACCGCUUUCAGCAGGGGCGAAGCUUGUGGUGACGGUACCUGCAGAAGGAGCACCGGCUAACUACGUG
rnacentral:rRNA from 1 species